rnacentral:rRNA from 1 species
UACGGAGGGGGCUAGCGUUGUUCGGAAUUACUGGGCGUAAAGCGCACGUAGGCGGCUUUGUAAGUUAGAGGUGAAAGCCCAGGGCUUAACCCUGGAAUUGCCUUUAAGACUGCAUCGCUAGAAUCGUGGAGAGGUAAGUGGAAUUCCGAGUGUAGAGGUGAAAUUCGUAGAUAUUCGGAAGAACACCAGUGGCGAAGGCGACUUACUGGACACGUAUUGACGCUGAGGUACGAAAGCGUGGGGAGCAAACAGG